UCGUGCUUUGUACAAGUGAUCUGGAGAUAGGUGAGAGUUGUUUCUGGUACCUACUGGUGGUAGGGAAUUCAAAUUUGAAUUUGAAUUAAAGAUUUUAGGGUUUAUGCUUUGGUAUAUGUGCGAUAUACGGAUUAAUUAGAGAGCGGGUGGGUUCCGUCGCGAAUCCGUGACCAAAUCUGACGAAACAAGAUGGUAGUUUGGAUGCCCUCGUCGUGCUGAACGCGAUGGUGCAAUCCGUUCAGAAAUCCGAUAAACGGAUUGUCGGAUAUUGCUUGAAGUUCGCUAAGGGGUCGAGAGUGGAAAAUCAGGAAAUUCGCAAGAGUCGCAAUAUUUUAUGUGCCGAAUUGCGUGAGAUCGGACAUGGAGGUGCGUAUGUGUAAAAUACGCAUGCUGUGAGGGACUUGACUGAGAAUUUUAU
rnacentral:lncRNA from 1 species